UAAAAGGAUGAUUUGUAGGCAAACAUACAAUUGUUCAAGUUCUGCCUCUACUUUUUGCUAAUCUCUUAACCUUGGGGAAAAUGCUUCUCUCGGCCUCAGCUUCCCAUUCAUCAAAUAGGGGUGACUGAGCACUUAACAGAAAACACACGGUGACCACUUCCUGAAUACACAAGAAAGUCCGUGAACUUGAGACUUUGUAUGUGAGG
rnacentral:lncRNA from 1 species